GCGAGAUUAGUUUAACGGUUAGAACGUCGACUUUACACGUCGAUGGCAGAAGUUCGACUCUUCUAUCUUGUA